rnacentral:rRNA from 1 species
GCYUUAMCMUGUCAAGUCGGAACGGUAACGCGGGGCAACCUGGCGACGAGUGGCGAACGGGUGAGUAACGCAUCGGAACGCACCCAGUAGUGGGGGAUAGCCCGGCGAARGCCGGAUUAAUACCGCAUACGACCUAAGGGUGAAAGCGGGGGAUCGCAAGACCUCGCGCUAUUGGAGCGGCCGAUGUCAGAUUAGGUAGUUGGUGGGGUAAAGGCCUACCAAGCCUGCGAUCUGUAGCUGGUCUGAGAGGGCGACCAGCCACACUGGGACUGAGACACGGCCCAGACUCCUACGGGAGGCAGCAGUGGGGAAUUUUGGACAAUGGGGGAAACCCUGAUCCAGCCAUGCCGCGUGCGGGAAGAAGGCCUUCGGGUUGUAAACCGCUUUUGUCAGGGAAGAAAAGGCGCAGUCUAAUACAUUGCGGCCAUGACGGUACCUGAAGAAUAAGCACCGGCUAACUACGUGCCAGCAGCCGCGGUAAUACGUAGGGUGCGAGCGUUAAUCGGAAUUACUGGGCGUAAAGCGUGCGUAGGCGGUUAUGCAAGACAGAUGUGAAAUCCCCGAGCUCAACUUGGGAACGGCAUUUGUGACUGCAUGGCUUGAGUGCGGCAGAGGGGGAUGGGAAUUCCGCGUGUASCAGUGAAAUGCGUAGAUAUGCGGAGGGAACACCGAUGGCGAAGGCAAUCCUCUGGGGYCCUGCAYUGACGCUCAUGCACGAAAGCGUGGGGGAGCAAAKMGGGAUUAGAUACCCCUGGUAGUCCACGCCCUAAACGAUGUCAACUGGGUUGUUGGARGGGUUUUCUUUUCAGUAACGAAGCUAACGCGUGARAUUGAKC